AUUUGCCCAACAAGCCCCUCGCACGCGCUGGGAUUCCUCAUGCCGCCGUCGUCGCCAUCUCGCACCUAACUGUAGCGCCGCCUCGCCAUCCCUCACCGCGUCCCGAUCCAUCCCCUCUCCCCCGAACCACCCCGCUGCACCACAAAGCCUUGACUUGAUGUCGCCUGCAGACGAGCUGCGGCGGCGCAUCGGCGUUGCUUGGCGAGGGGCGGUACCAAUCCUGGGGAAAGCCUCCGCAUCUCGAUCCCAUCUUGCUGAUCGCUGACCCCGACGUGCCACACCAGUACCCCCACCUUCUCCCGCCAUCACCUCGCUUUACGCCGAUCCGGAUGGCGCCCCCUUUGCCGCCGCGUGAAUUCCCUCCCCACCAGAUCCUCAUCGCCAUGGUCCUCCCCAUCGCCCCAGGGGUCUACCUCGCCGUGAAGAUGCAGAGGAGAAAUCCUACGGGAGCCUCGUCACCAACGACAUCUGCAAUGUCUCGGAGGGGACAAGAACAUCGCCGACAUUUUUUUAUCAAUGGUGCAGAGUGUAAGGGGCUGAAAUUACCGUUCAGCAAGGGCUGCAGCUUCUACCGCUGUAAGCCGGACCGUAGCGGCAUCAAGUGCUUGAGAUUGUGUAUGGCCUUGUCCUUUGUCCCUUGCCCUAGUAUUAAUUUGGAUGAAGUGUGCCUGGUGAAUUUCUGUUGGGAGCAGCAGUACCAACAAAAGCGAUGAUCUGUUACAAAUUAUUAUACGUUUUCCUAUGGAGAUGUGUUUGCUAAUUGCUAUGCGGGCUAUGGUUGAAUAUUUUUCUUCAUGGUGAUUGGGAAGAUGGCUACCAACACCGGCGGUAGCAUCAUCCAUCUUGCUAGCACACUGCCAAUCUGCACAGUGCAUAUGGUUUUCAGCAUAGUGUUGUUGCUACGAGUCUGCUGGUCAGCUACUUCCAGUUAUCCUCAUCGAGAGUUGAUAGUCGGAUUUCACCAAGAAAUAAAAACGGAGGAAAACCCUCAAGUCUUACUACCGAUAGCCUCAAACAAGAAUAUGGGCACUAGAAAGGAGACAAUCCUAUCCACUCUCACAAUGAAACAAGAGAAACAAUUUCCUUGCAGUCAUCUAUAAGCCUAUUCUUUAAUCCGUUCAAUCACAGAGUUUAUGAUUAUGUAAAUGGAGUAUGGGAUCUGAGAAGGAAAAAAAAAGCUGGGGAUUUUUCUUGGAUUGAGAGCUGCCACACUGAGCGCAAGUAGAUGGAAGGAGAUGGAUAUUGAAAAUAGAAAUCUUCAACAAUUGACUAAACACAAUUGUACGAGUGUCAAGAAAACAAUUGACUAAAAAUCAAUCUAAAAUACUUUUAUGAGUUGGAAAAA